GAUGAACGCUGGCGGCGUGCUUAACACAUGCAAGUCGAACGGACCCUUUCGGGGGUUAGUGGCGGACGGGUGAGUAACACGUGAGAAUCUGCCCAUAGGACGGGGACAACAGUGGGAAACUGCUGCUAAUACCGGAUGAGCCGAGAGGUAAAACAUUUAUGGCCUAUGGAGGAGCUCGCGACUGAUUAGCUAGUUGGUGGGGUAAAGGCCUACCAAGGCGACGAUCAGUAGCUGGUCUGAGAGGAUGAUCAGCCACACUGGGACUGAGACACGGCCCAGACUCCUACGGGAGGCAGCAGUGGGAAUUUUCGCAAUGGGGGCAACCCUGACGGAGCAACGCCGCGUGAGGGAAGAAUGGUUGUGGCCAGUAAACCUCUUUUAAUAGGGAAGAAUUCUGACGGUACCUAUUGAAUAAGCAUCGGCUAAAC
rnacentral:rRNA from 1 species